rnacentral:rRNA from 1 species
AGUGAACGCUGGCGGUAGGCCUAACACAUGCAAGUCGAACGGCAGCACAGUAAGAGCUUGCUCUUACGGGUUGCGGAUGGCGGACGGGUGAGGAAUACAUCGUAAUCUACUUUUUCGUGGGGGAUAACGUAGGUAAACUUACUCUAAUACCGCAUACGACCUACGGGUGAAAGCAGGGGAGCUUCGGACCUUGCGCGAUUGAAUGAGCCGAUGUCGGAUUAGCUAGUUGGCGGGGUAAAGGCCCACCAAGGCGACGAUCCGUAGCUGGUCUGAGAGGAUGAUAAGCCACCCUGGAACUGAGACACGGUCCAGACUCCUACGGGAGGCAGCAGUGGGGAAUAUUGGACAAUGGGCGCAAGCCUGAUCCAGCCAUACCGCGUGGGUGAAGAAGGCCUUCGGGUUGUAAAGCCCUUUUGUUGGGAAAGAACAGCAGCAGGUUAAGACGCAGCUGUUCUGACGGUACCCAAAGAAUAAGCACCGGCUAACUUCGUG